AAAGUCUCUCUUUCUCUCUUCUCCCUCUUCUCUCCCUCGGCACAACUCUCUCCCUCUCACCCGUGCCCUUCCUCCCUGCAAAUCCUCACUUCCACACCACAUCAAUGAAGAUGACAGCACCCAUCACAACCUCUGCAGUUUUCUCUCACCCGUUGUAGAAAGGACGACGAAAUCCCAGAAGCCUCCGACGAGCAUCGCCCCUUUCGAGGCAAUUUCCGGCCAAACUACGGCGAUUUGGCCGGCGUAAAAGUUUCCGGCGAGUCCGACGGCUUUCGAGGCGUUUUCCGGUAAAACCACGGCGAGUUAGACGUCGUGUGAGGGCUUAGAAUCGAGGCAUACAAUCCCGGCAUCCAGGCACUUCCGCAUCGACGUCUUCGAGUUCUUUUGGUGUGGGACCCAUUCCUUUGUUCAUCAAAUUUUAUAUCGUUUUUUUUGUAUUCUAGUUAGUCAUAUGCUUUGAACACGUUCCUUAAAUGCUUAUUCUUUUAUAUUUAUAAGUCUUAGUUAUCCUUUA